UAGGCCCUUAGAAAAACAAAAAGAUGAGUACCAAAAUAACAUGGUUAUUUAAAAACUUGUCAUCUUUCAAGGAAAAAAAAAUGAAGAAAUCAUCUUUGAAUUAUUUAAAUUUGUUCCCCAGUUCCUUUUCUUUCCAACAGGUCUUGGAAGUCAUGGCUAUUAUCCCUCAGCAGACUUAGUCAUUGGCAAAUUCUGUUGGAGCUGCAUGCCUGUUCUUAUCCUAAUGGAUCCCUUAUUUAACCAAUGGCUAUUACUGACAUAUCAAAAUAUUA
rnacentral:lncRNA from 1 species